rnacentral:tRNA from 1 species
GCCGGAUUAGCUCAUUUGGUGUAGAGCGUCUGUCUUGUAAACAGAAGGUGGUCGGUUCGAAACCGACAUCCGGCUCAA